rnacentral:rRNA from 1 species
CCUACGGGAGGCAGCAGUGAGGAAUAUUGGUCAAUGGGCGCUAGCCUGAACCAGCCAAGUAGCGUGAAGGAUGACUGCCCUAUGGGUUGUAAACUUCUUUUAUAUGGGAAUAAAGUGCAGUAUGUAUACUGCUUUGCAUGUACCUUAUGAAUAAGGAUCGGCUAACUCCGUGCCAGCCGCCGCGGUAAUACGGAGGAUCCGAGCGUUAUCCGGAUUUAUUGGGUUUAAAGGGAGCAUAGGCGGGUUGUUAAGUCAGUUGUGAAAGGUUGCGGCUCAACCGUAAAAUUGCAGUUGAUACUGGCAUCCUUGAGUACAGUAGAGGUAGGCGGAAUUCGUGGUGUAGCGGUGAAAUGCUUAGAUAUCACGAAGAACUCCGAUUGCGAAGGCAGCCUGCUGGACUGUAACUGACGCUGAUGCUCGAAAGUGUGGGUAUCAAACAGGAUUAGAUACCCCAGUAGUC